AUCCUUUUGUAGUUCAUGAGGGUGAUGAUUGGGUGUUCACAUGCAUGUGUGAGAUGUGCCGCUGUUGAACCUUGUUAUGAUGUCAGCACAUUACCCAUCUGACA
ensembl:snoRNA